AGAAUCAACGCUGGCGGCGUGCCUAACACAUGCAAGUCGCACGAGAAAGGGUAGCAAUACCUGAGUAAAGUGGCGCACGGGUGAGUAACACGUGAAUAAUCUACCUCCGAGUGGGGAAUAACUGAGAGAAAUCUUAGCUAAUACCGCAUAACACUUACGAGUCAAAGCAGUAAUGCGCUUGGAGAGGAGUUCGCGGCAGAUUAGCUAGUUGGCGGGGUAAUGGCCCACCAAGGCGAUGAUCUGUAUCCGGCCUGAGAGGGCGCACGGACACACUGGAACUGAAACACGGUCCAGACUCCUACGGGAGGCAGCAGUGGGGAAUUUUGCGCAAUGGGGGAAACCCUGACGCAGCAACGCCGCGUGGAGGAUGAAAUCCCUUGGGAUGUAAACUCCUUUCGAUAGGGAAGAUAAUGACGGUACCUAUAGAAGAAGCCCCGGCUAACUUCGUGCCAGCAGCCGC
rnacentral:rRNA from 1 species